rnacentral:rRNA from 1 species
UACGGGGGGGCAAGCGUUGUUCGGAAUUACUGGGCGUAAAGGGCUCGUAGGUGGCCAACUAAGUCAGACGUGAAAUCCCUCGGCUUAACCGGGGAACUGCGUCUGAUACUGGAUGGCUUGAGUUCGGGAGAGGGAUGCGGAAUUCCAGGUGUAGCGGUGAAAUGCGCAGAUAUCAGGAGGAACACCAGCGGCGAAGGCGGCGCUCUGGGCCGGAACUGACGCUGAGGAGCGAAAGCGUGGGGAGCAAACAGG